rnacentral:rRNA from 1 species
UACGGGGGGGGCAAGCGUUGUUCGGAAUUACUGGGCGUAAAGGGCUCGUAGGUGGCCAACUAAGUCAGACGUGAAAUCCCUCGGCUUAACCGGGGAACUGCGUCUGAUACUGGAUGGCUUGAGUUCGGGAGAGGGAUGCGGAAUUCCAGGUGUAGCGGUGAAAUGCGUAGAUAUCUGGAGGAACACCGGUGGCGAAGGCGGUUCUCUGGGAAUGUCCUGACGCUGAGGAGCGAAAGUGUGGGGAGCGAACAGG